AAUCAGGCCUAACGAUAGCACUGGAUUUGAAGCACGAUUCUCUGCGUUGAGCACACUGACGGGACCAAGAGUAAGACAAGGUUAUAGUUAGUGAAAUCCUGCUCGCCUUAAUCAAAGGACAAAACCUGUCCCCUGGAGAAGUUAAGGACAGCUUGUGUGAGGCAUCUGCAGCAUGAGACCUGAGAUCCAGCCUCUCUCCCUCCCAGUUUCUGCAGCUUUGGAGAGGCAGCAUCUGACAGGUUCCCUCCUGGUCAUUCUUUGGACUACUGUGCUUUCUUGGCUGCUGCCAUACUUCUUGGUUCCUGCGAG